rnacentral:rRNA from 1 species
AGUUGUUGCAGUUAAAAAGCUCGUAGUUGGAUUUCUGGCAGGAGCGACCGGUCCGCCGCAAGGUGUGCACUAGGUUGUCUCCAGUCAUCUUUGUGGGAACUGCUCUGGCAUUAGGUUGUCGGGGUUAGGGAACACAUCGGUUACUGUGAAAAAAUUAGAGUGUUUAAAGCAGGCUUAUGCCGUUGAAUACAUUAGCAUGGAAUAAUAAGAUAGGACUUUGGUGGUCUAUUUUGUUGGUUUGCACACCAAGGUAAUGAUUAAUAGGGAUAGUUGGGGGUAUUCGUAUUUAAUUGUCAGAGGUGAAAUUCUUGGAUUUAUGAAAGACGAACUACUGCGAAAGCAUUUACCAAAGAUGUUUUCAUUAAUCAAGAACGAAAGUUAGGGGAUCGAAGAUGAUUAGAUACCAUCGUAGUCUUAACCAUAAACUAUGCCGACUAGGGAUUGGUGGUCGUUCUUUAUGACUCCAUCAGCACCUUAUGAGAAAUCAAAGUCUUUGGGUUCCGGGGGGAGUAUGGUCGCAAGGCUGAAACUUAAAGGAAUUGACGGAAGGGCACCACCA